rnacentral:rRNA from 1 species
GAUGAACGCUCGCGGCAGGCCUAAUACAUGCAAGUCGAACGGGAUCCAGAUCAAAGCUUGCUUUGGUCUGGUGAGAGUGGCGCACGGGUGCGUAACGCGUGAGCAACCUACCCUUGUCAGGGGGAUAGCCCGGCGAAAGUCGGAUUAAUACCGCAUGACAUCAUUGAGAGGCAUCUUUCGAUGAUCAAAGAUUUAUCGGACAAGGAUGGGCUCGCGUGACAUUAGCUAGUUGGUAAGGUAACGGCUUACCAAGGCUGCGAUGUCUAGGGGCUCUGAGAGGAGAAUCCCCCACACUGGUACUGAGACACGGACCAGACUCCUACGGGAGGCAGCAGUAAGGAAUAUUGGUCAAUGGACGGAAGUCUGAACCAGCCAUGCCGCGUGCAGGAAGACGGCCCUAUGGGUUGUAAACUGCUUUUAUACGGGAACAAACGUCGGUACGGGUACCGGUCUGAGUGUACCGUAAGAAUAAGGAUCGGCUAACUCCGUG